rnacentral:rRNA from 1 species
GAUGAACGCUAGCGGCAGGCCUAACACAUGCAAGUCGAGGGAGAAGCCCUUUCGGGGGCAGAAACCGGCGCACGGGUGCGUAACGCGUAUGCAACCUACCUUUCACAGGGGGAUAGCCCGAAGAAAUUUGGAUUAAUACCCCAUAAUAUUAUUGGAUGGCAUCAUUUGAUAAUUAAAACUGCGGUGGUGAAGGAUGGGCAUGCGUCCUAUUAGCUAGUUGGAGUGGUAACGGCACCCCAAGGCUACGAUAGGUAGGGGUCCUGAGAGGGAGAUCCCCCACACUGGUACUGGGACAGGGACCAGACUCCUACGGGAGGCAGCAGUGAGGAAUAUUGGUCAAUGGUCGGAAGACUGAACCAGCCAUGCCGCGUGCAGGAAGAAUGCCUUAUGGGUUGUAAACUGCUUUUAGAUGGGAAGAAUAAGGCGUACGUGUACGUUGAUGACGGUACCAUAUGAAGAAGCAUCGGCUAACUCCGUG